UAGAGUUUCGGAUCCGUGCGUCAGGACGAACGCUGCGGCGUGCUUAACACAUGCAAGUCGAACGGAAAGGCCCUGCUUUUGUGGGGUGCGUCGAGUGGCGAACGGGUGAGUAACACGUGAGUAACCUGCCCUUGACUUUGGGAUAACUUCAGGAAACUGGGGCUAAUACCGGAUAGGAGCUCCUGCUGCAUGGUGGGGUUGGAAAGUUUCGGCGGUUGGGGAUGGACUCGCGGCUUAUCAGCUUGUUGUGGGGUAGUGGCUUACCAAGGCUUUGACGGGUAGCCGGCCUGAGAGGGUGACCGGCCACAUUGGGACUGAGAUACGGCCCAGACUCCUACGGGAGGCAGCAGUGGGGAAUAUUGCACAAUGGGCGGAAGCCCGAUGCAGCAACGCCGCGUGCGGGAUGACGGCCUUCGGGUUGUAAACCGCUUUCGCCUGUGACGAAGCGUGAGUGACGGUAAUGGGUAAAGAAGCACCGGCUAACUACGUG
rnacentral:rRNA from 1 species